CGGGCGCGGGCGCAGUGCACGCUGGGAGCUGUCACUAGGCCCUUCGGCUCCCGGCCUCCGCGUCGCUGCCGCGGUUGCCAGGAGAGCGGCGCCGGCGGGGAGCGGCCGAGCCCACGGCAGAAUUACGAAAGAAAAUCAGGAAACUAAGCGUUUGCCUCACAAGCCCAGAGCUGUGGAAAGACAUAAAUCUCUCAAUUUUCGGUGUUCCUGGCUUUCUUCUACGCAGACAGACCUCGUAUGUUAUCGAUGGAUAGUGUAUGUCGACGUUGUACGCGAAGAAAUUCACCGUCUGGUAAACACAGUGAUUGAGUUGAGCCGACAGAAGUGGCCACAAGGGAAAUCAUAGCUGUAAGAUAAACCUUUGAAGCUAAAGAAAUCUAAAAAUCAGUGAGAACCUUUUAUAUGACAAAGUGAUGACUGUUGAUUCAGGAGUGAUGAAAUGUUGAUGAUAUAUGUCUAUCUGCCAUAGCUCCUAUAAGCAUGGAUAAGGUAAUAAACUUAAGAGAAUAUAAUAAUUCCUUUAUUUCUUUCAUUACCUUUUAAGUUUGAUCUAGGUUUUAAUAUUUCCAUCCUGCAGAAGACAUUUUUGACCUUUUUUUCUUCUGAGGUAGUGAAAAAUUCUCCUCUCAUCGAAAGAGUUUAAUGUGAAUAGGUAGGAAAAUAAAUUACCUACUCUUGUUCUAUUAAAUAUAUCCUGUAUUUCAACUUGUUGUGGUUAUUUUCAGGCUUAUAUCAAUAUUGUGAGCUUAAUGUUUAAAUUACCGUUAUUUCAUGUUCAUGAACAAAGAGUUCAGGUAAAUAGACAAUUUAGUUUGGUGUUUCUUUUUUCCAAAAAAAAAUUUAUCUGAAUGGUAAUACUAGAUUUAUGAGUAUAGACAAUAAUUUGCUAUUCAACCAGAGGUCAGAUUGCUGUUGAUCUAAGGUUAUGGGAUACAGCCUCAAUUUGGAAGUAAGAAAAGAGCACUCCAGAUGAAUAGUCUUUACUUCAUAAAAGACCUUUCACUCAAAUAAGUAGUUUCUUUCCUAUGUCUCUACUGUAAAAUAAAGAAGCAGGAUAGAAGCAGUGCAGAUAAACUUUUUAUUAUUUGAAGGUAACAACGGACUAAUCAGAGAAACUAUAAAAAACACAGCAGUCUUAGUCCUUUAAGUUAUACAGAUAAAUAACCUAACAUUUCCAUUUGCUCUUUUUGUGUGCUGUAUCAGCUACUUGAAACCCUUAGAAUAUUUGUUAGUAUAAUCAAUCAAAUUUUCAAGAUAGCUGGAAUUUUUGUAUAUCGUACACCCUAAAUGUCAUUCCAGUCUGGUGUUAUGCUUUCUGCUUGUCUUCAGUGUGAUACACUUUGCACAGUGACUUUUCAUAUACACUUAACACAUAUACACUUGACCAUAUUUAAAAUUUCCUGGACAAAAUUUUUUCUCUGUAGAAAAAAAUAGAAUAUAAUAUUUGCUUUAAAGUUAGUGUCUGUCAUCUUGGGAAGAAAAAUAAAUAUUUAAAUGACUUCCCAUUUUAUAUAUCAGCAAUUCCAUGAAUGUUACUACCACCCUUAAGUUAGGAGUCCACCUUUAAGCCUGAAGAGGGAUUCCAGCAACAUGAUUAUUUUUAUGGCACCUGUCAUUUUAUUGGAAGGCUAUCUUCAAAGCAUUGUACCCCAAGCCUACCUGAUUCUAUUAAUUUGAGGUUACCUAUUAGUUUUAUGUGAUGUGAUUACUGCUGUGUUAUUAUGUCUUUUAAGUUGGGUGUGGUUUAAAAAGAAAAUAUUCAGUAGGUUGCCUUCUUGUUGAUUGAUUCCUUCACUGUGCAAAAGUUUUUUAUUUUGAUGUGAUCCCAAUAGUUACUGCUUGUCUUCCCAUUGCCAAAAACCACGUAUCUAGAAAAAUGUUGCUAUGAUCAGCAACAAAACUCCAGGUUUUCCAGGGUUUGGUGGGGGUGGGGAAAGGGGAGAGUUAAUCUGUUGGCUGUGAGAGAACCUCCUGGGAUAUGAGAGAGUGGUGGUUAAAGGGGCACUAACCUGGAAAUCUGAGCAUACCUGGACAUUGAUGCUGAUGUGAUCAUGCUUAGGACAUCACUAGCACCAGUCUGGUGUAUAAUCAGAGCACUUACCAGAUGGCUUGUGAAAUCCCCCCUCAGAAGGAAUUGGUGCUAUAAAGAACAGUGUACUGCCCAGGUCCUUGACAGGUGUUAUUAUGACCCAAUUAAAGUUUCUGUGUUUUGGUUAAAAAAAAAAAUAUAUAUCAGACAUUGAUCAUGUCUGUCUAGAUGUCUAUGACAUCUAGACAAUGUCAAUUGACUAUGAUCAAUGUCAGAGAAAUUACUACCUCCGUUUUCUUCUAGGACUUUUAUGGUUUUAGGUAUCACAUUUAGGUCUUUAAUCCAUUUUAGUUUUGUGUAUGAUAUUAGAAAGUAGUAGUUCAGUUUCUUUCUUUUGCAGAUAUCCAUCCCGUUUCCUAGCAUCAUUUAUUGAAGAAACGUUUCCCCAUUGUAUAUUCUUGCCUUUUGUCAUAGAUUAGUUGACCAUUUAACUGUGGGUUUAUUUCUGGGCUCUGUAUUCUGUUCCAUUGAUCUGUAUGUCUGUUUUUGUGUACUAUGCUGUUUUGAUCACAGCAGCUUUGUAGUAAAUCUUGAAAUCUGG